UAAUUGAAGAGUUUGAUCAUGGCUCAGAUUGAACGCUGGCGGCAGGCCUAACACAUGCAAGUCGAGCGGUAACAGGAGAAAGCUUGCUUUCUUGCUGACGAGCGGCGGACGGGUGAGUAAUGUAUGGGGAUCUGCCCGAUAGAGGGGGAUAACUACUGGAAACGGUGGCUAAUACCGCAUAAUGUCUACGGACCAAAGCAGGGGCUCUUCGGACCUUGCACUAUCGGAUGAACCCAUAUGGGAUUAGCUAGUAGGUGGGGUAAAGGCUCACCUAGGCGACGAUCUCUAGCUGGUCUGAGAGGAUGAUCAGCCACACUGGGACUGAGACACGGCCCAGACUCCUACGGGAGGCAGCAGUGGGG
rnacentral:rRNA from 1 species